AGGAACAUCGUGACAAAAAAGGGACACAUUUUCCAUCCAAAAUGCACUUAAUUUCAAAACUGUUUGAUCAUCUGUAGCAUUGGCUUCAACACAAGUGCUAUACAUCCUUCUACCUUUGUGUCAGCACUCGUUAUAAAAAGAACUGGUAAUUAGAUUAGUCCUGUGAGCAACAGUUGCUUAUCUAAGAAUGUGUUUGACAGGCUGAGCCAUAAAUAAGAAGCUGUAAAUGAAUAUAAGGAGAAAUCAAGACUUCCCAAAUAAAACCUAAGCUUAUUUCCAUGUUAUGCUAACUGAUAAAUGCUGAAGGUCCAUCCAUUCUCUCAAUGUCUUUACAUGAAGUUAAUGCUGAUUUAUUUCAUUUAUCACUUGAUCUUUUAUUCCAAAUUAUAGCUUGAUUCUAAAGUCCUUGUCUGCAAACAAAAAAAUAUCACCCUGAGGUUGGGUUGAAGUUGGUUGAGCAAACCUGUGAAAGCAUCUUGCCUGUUCUGCCUAAGCCAGGAACAAAUUAACCAUCCAGGAGGUACCCCUAUGUGAUUUUGUACUUGGCAGCACAUUGCUUGUAAGCCUAUCAACGUGUUUUACUAUGAAUCACUGUAAGAAACUUGCUUAUGUUUUACAGGAGGCAAUACAUACUGUAGUCCUUAUGCUAAGUAAAUCCAGCUAUAAGAGCACAUUAGUAUGAAACCCACAUGCUGUGUUCCAGUUCUUACUGCGAAGGUUUAGGGCCUAAAGUGAUUAUGCCUCUUUAUAGUAUAUUACCUGAAUUUUUAGUCAAAUUCAGUUAAAUUACGAAUUGAUUCAAAAGCGGCCUGUUUCCAGUGACACAGCUGUUAGCUACCAAGUCAGCUCCUUUUUGUAUUUAACAGCAUGUGCAGUCAAGAAGAAAGACCCAAUAAAAAAACACUUUGUGCUUUUAUGAAGAAAAAGAAUUGUUUGAAUUGCCACUGAUAGUGUGCAUGUCUGCAACAGAGAGAGGCUUGCAUUUGUUGAUAUUACCCUCUGUAUAGUGCAGUAAUAUGUACAGUAUGGGAUCAAACAGCAGCAGCUGUAUUAAUUUUGAUUAAUAAAGUGUUAGGCUCUCCUUUCAUUUUCAUGUGCUUCUUAUGGUACAGAAAGACUGUCACACGUGCGUAGGCAUGCUUGACAACCUGGGGUCAGUCUGAGAAGUGAGCAGCAGCUAAGGCAGAGUUUGGGUAACGAGCAUUGCUACCUGAAGCAGGCUUGCUGUGAUAGAAAGCAUUUACUAGGAAAGAAGAUAAUCUCAGUAUAGAAAAAUAUAGAUACCAAGUCAGCAGCUUGUAAAAGGAAACCUUUCUUGCAUGUUGUCCCAAAAAUCACAACCACAGUUAGUUGAGAUAUAACUUUAAAAUAUUGCAACCAUUUAAUAGUUUAACCAUUUAACCAAAGAAUCAUCAGAUUCAGAAAAGAACAGAUUUCUCCAAAAUCUUUCCCUCCUCCGUCAUCCUUCCUCAAAAACAAUAACAAAAGCAACAAAAAUCAUUCGGUGAGUGCAACACUGCUAAAUGAAGACAGAGCCACAAGGCUUAACUGUACAUCCAGGAACAUAAUUUGCAAGGUGAGUUGGAAUAAUUUGUAUUACACUAACGUUCAUUAUGGAUCAAGCUCUUAGGGAAAUUUCUCUUUAGGGAAUACAUAGGACUUGUCUCCAUUUGUCCCUGUAUAUUUUUUCCACUGUAAUUCAGUACUCCAGAUUUCCACAGUCAGAGGCUUUAGUAGUGUCAUUCAGUAGUCAGAGGCUUUACCAAUGCCUAAUAAAACAAUAAAAAAUAUCAUGCAGAACUGAAUCAUGGAUUUACACAUCAUGACAUGCACAUCUGGGAAGGAAAGCUGGCUCUAUGUAUUCAUGACUUGUGUGGGUAGAGUUUAACUGGGGAUUCAGGCUGAUGCAAAGCAAAGAUUUUUGCUGUAGAAGGUUUUCAUUCCUACUGCUAUAGCUCUCCUCUGUAACUAAAGUUUCAGAGGAAUCUCUCUGAACAAAAGCUUUCCACUCUAACAGUCAUUUAGGCUAUAGACUGAGAAUAAAAAUUCAUUGUAGGCACUUACCAAAGUGCCUGAAGCAGCAGCCUCGUCAAAAGAUCUGAAUCAGCACUAGGGGAUAUGUAGUCUUCUCUGGGGUUUAUUUUUUAACAGAGGAAGCCUGGAAUGAACUAGAUCCCUAAUUCAGGCGUUAGGAUAGAUGAAUUGGAAUCUUAUUCUUCAAUUGCACAGAAGCACUAAUGUCUACCAGCAUUAACUCCACGUUAUUUGUCCUUCGCACAUCUCAUUCACUGAAUGUAGGGACCAAGGAAUAUGAAGCAGCGCAAAUAAUCCAGAUCCAGAGAGGUCAGCUUGUUCUUGGUUAGGGUCAGUUUGAAACAGGACAGCAGCAAAUAUAAAAGUUCUUGGCAGUUCAUGCCUGACUGUGAAAUAGUCCUGUUCCAUGCAGUUAUUGAUCUUCUUUUUGCUUAGAUAAGAAGACUAGGAAGUUAAAACAAAAGAAAAGGAACAGAUACUUUUCAUAACAAAGCUACAGAAUUUCACAUCCCUCUUUGGGUUUCCAACAGGCUGAAAUCUGGAGUGGAUAAUCCUAAACCUACAUAGAUUUCAUUGUCUGUGUUUAAUCAGAAAUUAAACAAGAAAGUGACAAACGUGAGUUCAAAGACUGUGACACCAAUCUCUGCUCACAUCAGUCAGUGACAUUAACCCCUAACCUGACCAGUUGACUCUGACCCGAGUGUCAGUUUCACCAUUUUCACAUUCAUUACUCACCAUUUUCAUUUCUACCAGUAGUUGCCACAAUAGUAUAUGGCCCAGUUUCUUCUGUGUUAAUAGUUAAUCUUAUGCAAGAUUUGACAGUCAAUUUAGUAUCUAUCCAAGAGGUGAUAUAAGUGCCAAAAAUAGACAAAAAAAGAGAAGAAAAAAAAGCCCAAGUACAACGUGUUGUGGGAUGAUGGAACUGUGGUACCCCAUAGGCACAAAGGGUGCAACUUCCAGAGAUCAGACAGAUCUGAAGGCACGGAACUGGAGUCCAUGGCAGUGGAUGAACAUCACCCCAUCAACAAAAAUGUGCUUCAAAUAUUCUAUUGCUAAAACAAAAAAUGCUUAACACUAGAUUUACCCACUCACCCAUUUACUACUUCCUCUGUGGCAUUUAAACAUUCCAUUUCAGCAUCACUAAUGAUCUCAGUGUUCCUAACAUAGUAAUGAUCGUAUAAAAACCAGGAAAGUGAAGACAAUUUUACAUCCCAAACUUAUCCUUCACUGAAUCGAUUCAGCUCUGUGCAUGUUCUGUCUUGUCUUGUAACAUUAGAGUGUAAGUCCUUAGGACAGGAUUCGUUGUUUUGUAGCUGUCAGUCACUAUGUAAAAUCAUACACCACAAAUAAAGAUAAAUUUCUACACCACAAAUAAAGUUGAGGAGAAUUUUGCCUGUGCUGCCAAACUGAAAACUUUCAGUUUGGCUUAUUAACAAUAAAACUAGACCUUCCUCCCUUUC
ensembl:lncRNA